GACGAACGCUGGCGGCGUGCCUAAUACAUGCAAGUAGAACGCUGAAGGAGGAGCUUGCUUCUCUGGAUGAGUUGCGAACGGGUGAGUAACGCGUAGGUAACCUGCCUGGUAGCGGGGGAUAACUAUUGGAAACGAUAGCUAAUACCGCAUAACAGUAGAUAUCGCAUGAUAGCUGCUUAAAAGGUGCAAUUGCACCACUACCAGAUGGACCUGCGUUGUAUUAGCUAGUUGGUGAGGUAACGGCUCACCAAGGCAACGAUACAUAGCCGACCUGAGAGGGUGAUCGGCCACACUGGGACUGAGACACGGCCCAGACUCCUACGGGAGGCAGCAGUAGGGAAUCUUCGGCAAUGGACGAAAGUCUGACCGAGCAACGCCGCGUGAGUGAAGAAGGUUUUCGGAUCGUAAAGCUCUGUUGUAAGAGAAGAACGAGUGUGAGAGUGGAAAGUUCACACUGUGACGGUAUCUUACCAGAAAGGGACGGCUAACUACGUGCCAGCAGCCGCGGUAAUACGUAGGUCCCGAGCGUUGUCCGGAUUUAUUGGGCGUAAAGCGAGCGCAGGCGGUUAGAUAAGUCUGAAGUUAAAGGCUGUGGCUUAACCAUAGUACGCUUUGGAAACUGUUUAACUUGAGUGCAAGAGGGGAGAGUGGAAUUCCAUGUGUAGCGGUGAAAUGCGUAGAUAUAUGGAGGAACACCGGUGGCGAAAGCGGCUCUCUGGCUUGUAACUGACGCUGAGGCUCGAAAGCGUGGGGAGCAAACAGG
rnacentral:rRNA from 1 species